UACGUAGGGCGCAAGCGUUAUCCGGAAUUAUUGGGCGUAAAGAACUCGUAGGCGGUUUGUCGCGUCUGCCGUGAAAGUCCGGGGCUCAACUCCGGAUCUGCGGUGGGUACGGGCAGACUAGAGUGAUGUAGGGGGAGACUGGAAUUCCUGGUGUAGCGGUGAAAUGCGCAGAUAUCAGGAGGAACACCGAUGGCGAAGGCAGGUCUCUGGGCCGAUACUGACGCUGAGGAGCGAAAGCGUGGGGGAGCGAACAGG
rnacentral:rRNA from 1 species